GUAGGUGGCAAGCGUUGUCCGGGAAUUAUUGGGGCGUAAAGCGCGCGCAGGCGGUUCUUUAAGUCUGAUGUGAAAGCCCACGGGCUCAACCGUGGAGGGUCAUUGGAAACUGGAGAACUUGAGUACAGAAGAGGAAAGCGGAAUUCCACGUGUAGCGGUGAAAUGCGUAGAGAUGUGGAGGAACACCAGUGGCGAAGGCGGCUUUCUGGUCUGUAACUGACGCUGAGGCGCGAAAGCGUGGGGAGCAAACAGGAUUAGAUACCCUGGUAGUCCACGCCGUAAACGAUGAGUGCUAAGUGUUAGGGGGUCUCCGCCCCUUAGUGCUGCAGCUAACGCAUUAAGCACUCCGCCUGGGGAGUACGGCCGCAAAGGCUG
rnacentral:rRNA from 1 species